rnacentral:rRNA from 1 species
UACGAAGGGGGCUAGCGUUGUUCGGAAUUACUGGGCGUAAAGCGUGCGCAGGCGGUUAUGCAAGACAGAUGUGAAAUCCCCGGGCUCAACCUGGGAACUGCAUUUGCGACUGCAUAGCUGGAGUGCGGCAGAGGGGGAUGGAAUUCCGCGUGUAGCAGUGAAAUGCGUAGAUAUGCGGAGGAACACCGAUGGCGAAGGCAAUCCCCUGGGCCUGCACUGACGCUCAUGCACGAAAGCGUGGGGAGCAAACAGG